GAGCAAUCCCUGGAGUACAGUGGCGUACGGGUGAGUAACACGUGGAUGGUCUAUCUCUUAGUGGGGAAUAACUCUGGGAAACCGGAGAUAAUACCGCAUAAGCUCGAGAGAGGAAAGCAGCAAUGCGCUGAGAGAGGAGUCCGCGGCCGAUUAGCUAGUUGGCAGGGUAAAAGCCUACCAAGGCAUAGAUCGGUAGCCGGCCUGAGAGGGCACACGGCCACACUGGCACUGAAACACGGGCCAGACUCCUACGGGAGGCAGCAGUGGGGAAUCUUGCACAAUGGGGGCAACCCUGAUGCAGCGACGCCGCGUGAGCGAUGAAGCCCUUCGGGGUGUAAAGCUCUUUCGGCAGGGAAGAUUAUGACGGUACCUGCAGAAGCAGCUGCGGCUAACUACGUGCCAGCAGCCGCGGUAAUACGUAGGCAGCGAGCGUUGUUCGGAGUUACUGGGCGUAAAGGGUGUGUAGGCGGUUGUUUAAGUUUGGUGUGAAAUCUCCCGGCUCAACUGGGAGGGUGCGCCGAAUACUGAAUGACUUCGAGUGCGGGAGAGGUGAGUGGAAUUCCUGGUGUAGCGGUGAAAUGCGUAGAUAUCAGGAGGAACACCGGUGGUGUAGACGGCUCACUGGACCGUAACCGACGCUGAGACACGAAAGCGUGGGUAGCAAACAGGAUUAGAUACCCUGGUAGUCCACGCCCUAAACGAUGCAUAUUUGGUGUGGGCAGUUCAU
rnacentral:rRNA from 1 species